rnacentral:lncRNA from 1 species
CCACGGGAGUUCCGCAGCCGCCGCCUUACCGGAACCCAAGAGACCACCUGUACGCGGAGAACGCUGGGGCGCGGCGGGUCGGCCCCUGACGCCAUAAGCUGCGAUGGAACCUAACCUCUGUGCCCCUUCAAUGUGGAACAUGUGGUCAUCAAAGAAGAUGUGGGGCCGGAUCUUCACCAAGAUGGGACUUUUGGGGGCUCCAGCAAGGAAAAGAGCUUCGUCUAUCUCUAGACCCCAGCGUCGAAGGGUCUUCAGCACACGGGCGCCUGAACUGGCUGCACUCCUAGCUGUAACCAGGUAGGUCCUGAUAGGACAAAGUAACCGUUCAUUUUUGGCAUAGAACUUCUUUUGCAGUCUGCCUAAAUCUUCCAGAAAGCCUUUUAGGGGACCCUGUAAAAGGAACAUAUAUCACAGCUGUGAUACAGUGAGCCAAAGAAAGUGAAUGCUAAAAAGCAGAGACCUAUAUGAUACGAUACAAUACAAAGGAUAUAAUACAGCAUGACAUGCAGUGUUAUGAAGCUGAUGGCAAAAUGCUAAAACUUGAUAGGAAUUUAUGUGAAUAUGUUUUCUGAUAUAGAACCAUCCUUGCAUUCCUGGAAUGUGCCUAAAAUGACCAUAUUAUUUAACAUGUAAACCUAUAUACUUUAGGUAUGAAAGAAUGUUCAAUAAAUACUUAAGCCAGGACAACAGACAUAAACUAUCCAUGGUAAGCUGGAAUAGAGGGUCACUCUAAAUAAACUCUAAUUAGUUACCAAAGCACUACUCUUUUAAUUUGCUUUUUGUGAAUUGUGCAUUUUAACUUUAUGAAGUAUAUGCUUUUGUCUAGUUUAAUGCUGUUUGGCUUGAAUCUAACUGUGUCUUUCAUUUUUAACCUUUCCAAACACUUGGUUUUAGUAUCUCUUGUACAGAGCCUAGAAUUGGAUUUUGCUAUGUGAUACAACCUGAAAAUCUUAUUUUUUAAAACAAUAGUUAAGUUUUUGUUCAUUUACAUUUAUUCAUAUUACAAACAUACUUGAGAUUGUUUCUGUCUUAUGGUUUUUAUUGCAUUUUCCAUGUUUUAAAAUUUUUAAAGGAUUGUUCAAUA